CUAUGUUAGGGCUUGAGAGGGAAAAGAAUUGAGUGAAAUUUAUCUCAGUUUCUCCAAAAUAAAUUUAAAAAAAGAAGAAAAAGAAAAGAAAAGAAAAGAAAGGAGAUAUAACUAGUAAUUAAAGGUUAUUAGGAAGGGUUUGAACAAGAAAAUUUCAAAAGGGAAACAAAAGAUGUUUUUUUUAAAGAGGGGAGGCAUUGAGAGGAAAAUAAGGGGGGAAGGAGGAAAGAAAUUUGUGUGGUGAUUUCAAGCUUUCCAUCUCUUAUUUCUUUGAAUUAAAAGGUAACAAAUCUCUUCCUCUCAAUUAAAUAGAUAUAUUUAGUAUGUUAAGAUUUUAUUCAAUUUUAUUAGUGUAUAAUUAUGGUAUGAGUUGUGAGGUUUAAUGGGUUCACUUAUGAAAUUAUGAUGAAUUAAUGUUUUAAUAAAUGAAAUAAUAGUGGGUAAUGUUUCAAUUUGUGAAAUUGAAGAAAAAAAUCAUUAUGGGUUCUUUUGAGGAGAGGUUUCGGCCAAGAGAAAGAAAAUGAAUGAAAAUGUUGGAUCAAUAAUUAAUUAUUGAGUUAUGUUGUAAUAUUGAUGAUGAAGGAGUUAUAUUAGGGAUGAGUUAAUAUUGUUGAGUGAUAAUUAAAUGAAUUAUGUGAUAAUAUUGAUGAUGAAGAAAUAAUAUUAGUGAUGAGUUAAUAUUGUUGAGUGAUAGUUAAAUGAGUUAUGUGGUAAUAUUGAUGAGGAAGGAAUUAUAUUAGUGAUGAGUUAAUAUUGUUGUUUGAUAGUUAAAUAAAUUAUGUGGUAAUAUUGAUGAUGAAGAAAUUAUAUUAGUGAUGAGUUAAUAUUGUUGUUUGAUAGUUAAAUGAAUUAUGUGAUAAUAUUGAUGAUGAAGAAAUUAUAUUAGUGAUGAGUUAAUAUAUUGAGUGAUAAUUAAAUGAGUCAUGAGGUAAUAUUGAUGAUAAAGAAAUUAUGUUAGUGAUGAGUUGAUAUUGUUGUUGAAAAUUAAAUGAAUUUUGUGGUGAUGUGUUGAUGAAAUAAUUAAAUUAGCAAUGAGUUGUUUUGCUGGUUUGUUAAGUAAAGUGGUUAUGUGGUGAUGUUAUUGAUGAAAUAAUUAAAUUGAUGACAAGUUGAUUUUGUUGAAAUAAAAUUUAAUUGGUAAUGAAAUGAACUUGCAGGAGUGGACGAGGCUACAAGAACCACUCAGCAGACAGGUUCAACUAGUAGGACGCAAACACCAGGUAGGUGUUUAAUAUCUUGAAUAUUUUUUCUUUCUCUAAACUUUAGAUAUUUAAAUUUUCUCUUGAUCAACGAAAUCUUAUGUGGAAUGCUAGUAGAUUUUCCCAAGAUAAUUUAUUUUGAAAUGAAAAACUGGUACCCUGUGAAUGGGCAAUUGAUAACCAGUUAUCCUGGUAUCCUGGUAUGGAACUGGUGCCCUGUGAAUGGGCAGCUAGUGGACCAGUUAUCCUGGUAUGGAAUUGGUGCUGGUAGUUCAGCUGUGUUGGUAUGGAACUAGUGCUGGUAGUCCAGCUGUACUGGUUUGGAACUGAAGUUCUAUGAUGUGGACAUAUUUAAAUUUUGGAUUAUUGAUUUGAGAAUUGUACUUGGAAGAUGAUAGUAAAUGUGGGAAUUUUGUGAGUAAAUAAUGCAUAUAUUUAUAUGUUAUUACAAAUGUAAAUACUCUAAUUGAUCAUGAUUAUCUUUUAAAUCAUUAUGCAGGUUCAUCUCAAUACCGCGCCUGAUAGUAGUUUUUAGAGUUUACUUCUAUUACCAGUAAAUCUUUUGGAUAUGUAAAUUAUUGAUUAUAACAUUACUAUCUGUAUAUUUUGAAGAUUAUAAUGUUGGGUAUGUAUGAAUUUAAAUGGACUAGCUUAUUUAACUUGUACUCUGUUAUGUAAAUAUUUUCUAAUUAUGAUGGUGAUAUAUAUAUAUAUAUA
rnacentral:lncRNA from 1 species